CGCCCAUCACUAAUAUAUAUAUAGAGAGAGAGAGUUCACUGGGCUGACUCGAGCUCAAAAAGUGAAGCCAACAUGGCGGAAUUUGAAGGCAUUCUUGCGCGUCAUUCUUAGUCUCCUUACGUGCGCGGUCAACUAAACUUUUAUAUUUUUCUUUACUUUCCGAGUAAAAAUCUGGUGAAAAACAGACGAAAUUUGAAUGAAAAGUUGAAUUCUGGUAUUUUGUUUGGG
rnacentral:lncRNA from 1 species